ensembl:snRNA U6 U6 spliceosomal RNA
GUUUGGCACAAAACACACAUAUACUAAAACUGCAAAGAUACAGAGAAGAUUAGCAUCAUUUAGUGCAAGAGUGACAAGCAGAUUUGUGAAGCAGCUCAUAUUUUU